CCUUGUACACACCGCCCGUCACACCAUGGGAGUGGGUUGUACCAGAAGCGGGUAGGCUAACCGAAAGGAGGCCGCCCACCACGGUAUGAUUCAUGACUGGGGUG
rnacentral:rRNA from 1 species